CUGGAUUGUUCUGAAUUGUUUGUAGUGCAGGGAGGUCGGUGUAGCUGGAGGGAUUGAGAGGAGGGGAGCAAGAGAUGGAGGGAAGUGACAGUGCGAGGUCUUGCAAGGCCCUGUGAUCCGAGGCAAGGACUUUGGCUUUUCCCAGAGCUAGAUAGGAAGGUAAGGCUUUCUUAUAGGAGGUUGGAGGGAAGUGAGCUCUACAACCAACAGAUAAACUGGAGGGUGGGGAGGAAGCAGCGGAGGCCCAGGGGCACCUGCUUCUCAGCGUUGGCGCUGCUCAGCCAGGAAGGCUGGGGCGCCCUGAGCCCGCCCCUUGAGGCAAUGGGAGCGCGGCUUCAGCACGGCGGACAGCUCCGCGCACGUUGCCUGGAGACUAGAAAAGCGGUCGCCUCGGGGGCGGGGCCUGCGGAAGCAUCCUAUCAGAAGAGCUUGUUGACGGCGCAAUGACAAAGCGGUCCUAGUUCACAGGGCCGGGACUCCCAGCGGCGGAGCCUAAGAGAUUCUACUGAGGGCGGAGCUUGAUCGGGCUCGGAAGGGGUGGUGCGCGCAGAUCGGCCCAGGGGCGAGUAGGUUUGGAAGGCCUGGUGCUUGCGGAGGCUGGCCUGGCGCGGUUUCCGUGCACUUCGCAGGGAGGACUGAGCAUCACCCCAGGAGCUAUUCUCUUAUCAAGUCCAGUGGACUCUGCCACCUAAAUCACUGAACCUCAGCUCAGAUGUUCCAGAACUUCAUUCUCAGCUAGCCCUACUCUGCCACACCUGCUCUGCCCAACAGCCCAAAGAACUAUUAUGAAGCACAGAUCAGCCUGCGGUUUUCCCAGCUCUCAAUCCCUUUUAUGGCUCACCAUUGCCAUCAGAAUAAGGUUAGAACUCCUCUGCCUGGCUGUCAACACCCUGCAUGCGGUGCUCCCCCCCACCACCCUCCAGCCAUACAUCUCACCACUCCCUCCUUUUGUAUAAGUCCCACCCAAUAAACACAUGUUGAGUGAAUGAAACAA